UUUUAUGGAGAGUUUGAUCCUGGCUCAGGAUGAACGCUGGCGGCGUGCCUAAUACAUGCAAGUCGAGCGAACGGACGAGAAGCUUGCUUCUCUGAUGUUAGCGGCGGACGGGUGAGUAACACGUGGAUAACCUACCUAUAAGACUGGGAUAACUUCGGGAAACCGGAGCUAAUACCGGAUAAUAUUUUGAACCGCAUGGUUCAAAAGUGAAAGACGGUCUUGCUGUCACUUAUAGAUGGAUCCGCGCUGCAUUAGCUAGUUGGUAAGGUAACGGCUUACCAAGGCAACGAUGCAUAGCCGACCUGAGAGGGUGAUCGGCCACACUGGAACUGAGACACGGUCCAGACUCCUACGGGAGGCAGCAGUAGGGAAU
rnacentral:rRNA from 1 species